GNCGNGGGGAGCCUAACAUGAAAGCCGAGCGGUAUUGUUUCUUCGGAAAUGAGAGAGCGGCGUACGGGUGCGGAACACGUGUGCAACCUGCCUUUAUCUGGGGGAUAGCCUUUCGAAAGGAAGAUUAAUACUCCAUAAUAUAUUGAUUGGCAUCAAUUAAUAUUGAAAGCUCCGGCGGAUAGAGAUGGGCACGCGCAAGAUUAGCUAGUUGGUGAGGUAACGGCUCACCAAGGCGAUGAUCUUUAGGGGGCCUGAGAGGGUGAUCCCCCACACUGGUACUGAGACACGGACCAGACUCCUACGGGAGGCAGCAGUGAGGAAUAUUGGUCAAUGGGUGCAAGCCUGAACCAGCCAUCCCGCGUGAAGGACGACUGCCCUAUGGGUUGUAAACUUCUUUUGUAUAGGGAUAAACCUACCCUCGUGAGGGUAGCUGAAGGUACUAUACGAAUAAGCACCGGCUAACUCCGUGCCAGCAGCCGCGGUAAUACGGAGGGUGCAAGCGUUAUCCGGAUUUAUUGGGUUUAAAGGGUCCGUAGGCGGACUUAUAAGUCAGUGGUGAAAGCCUGUCGCUUAACGAUAGAACUGCCAUUGAUACUGUAAGUCUUGAGUAUAUUUGAGGUAGCUGGAAUAAGUAGUGUAGCGGUGAAAUGCAUAGAUAUUACUUAGAACACCAAUUGCGAAGGCAGGUUACCAAGAUAUAACUGACGCUGAGGGACGAAAGCGUGGGGAGCGAACACGAUUAAAUACCCUGGUAGUCCACGCCGUAAACGAUGCUAACUCGUUUUUGGGCUUUAGGGUUCAGAGACCAAGCGAAAGUGAUAAGUUAGCCACCUGGGGAGUACGCUCGCAGAGUGAAACUCAAGGAUUGACGGGGGCCCGCACAAGCGGUGGAUAUGUGGUUUAUUCGAUGAUACGCGAGGACCUUACCAAGGACUUAGAUGGGGAAUUGACUGGUUUAGAAUAGAUCUUUCCUCGGAACAAUUUUUCCAGGUGCUGCAAGGGUUGUCCGUCANCUCCGUGCCGAGAGGUGUAGGUUUACGUU
rnacentral:rRNA from 1 species